UCCCAAUGUACAAGUAAAUAUAAGUGUAGAUAAAGAAAAUAAAAAUACUAAGAAAAUAAAUUACAGUAAACUACUGUCAAAAAAAGUCAGUCAAUAAGAAGACCUAGCUUUACUGGGGUUAUUGGAGGAAGUCAGGGAAGUAAGUAAUAUCAGACUUGCUUGGGGUAUAACAGUGACAAAUGUAAUAAUUAUAGUAAGAUAUUCUCUUACAUAAAUAAACACAUACCCCAGUAUCUAAUACAGUCCAAAUUUUUCACAAAGUAGGACCAUUUGCAACAUCCUAAUCAUCAAUACUGAUGAACUCAGUCAAUCAUUUUUUUCCUCGUAGGACAAGACUGGGGGGCAAUUGUGCAUAUGUGGGAAUCCCUGUGCCAAUAAGCAUCUCGUCAUAGAGAUGGAUCAAUUUAAUGUCUCCAUUCAGAGAGUAGAGAUGACAAAUGUCAGCUCUGCAAUCAUUGCAGGACUGCAUCCAGGAAGACCCUCUGAUAGUUGUCCUAGUAACAGCCACUAGAGGUUACAUUGGACAGCAAUGUAUACACUACUUUUUCUCAUAAAAGGCAGCGUGUACAGUGCUUAGCCUGCAGGGACUAUGUAUUUGCCCCAGAACCACUACAAUUAGCUCUAUUAGUUCUGGUGUCUGGAAGGUCCCUUUAGUAUGACUUUUUGAAUUAUGUUGUUCUCUCAUAUACGUUGAUUUGCAAAUCAGCAUUUUUUCCUCACAUGGAAUGUGUAUGUUGAUAUGAAGUGUGAGAAUGUAUGCAAGAGGUAAUUUUUUUUAGUUGUUUUAUUUUUUAUAAACCAGACGUUGAGCAAAAGUUGUAAUAGUGGAACCUUCAUGAUGGAAACCAGAAAAUAUCUCUGCUAAUUGCUCCAGUUUUAGAACUUUGCCAAAGAACUGGUCUUCAUAAAUAUUCCCAAAUGGGCUAAGUUUCCCAUUAUUUGGUAUUCAUCUUCAACUUCAUAGUAAAAUGUACCUUUAGAAAUUUCAAUUCAUUUUCAAAAGAUCCGUAUACAUGAAAGGAUUUGGAAUUAAUCUGCUCAUUGAAGGCAACCUCUUUGAGAAUGACCACCCUGACAAUAUGUUGAGAAACAAUGGCUUCAAAGAGAUGCUAUAUCUACUGAACCAUUUAAAGUUCCAAAGUGAUUUAUCAAUAGGCAAAAAUGGACUCAUGUGGAAACAUUUAUACUGUCAUUUUGUAGAAAGUGUAUUGGUUGAUGCCUUUAACAAAACAUCAUAGCUCAUGAAAUGUUCUUUUUAACAAUGGUUUUCAUUGUAACGAGUUCAGUGUGAAGAAGAGCACCAGGAGACCUUAUGUUCUAGGAAAUCCAUUUUACAUAUGUACUAUAUUUGUGAAUCUAUUGCUAUGUCAAGGCCUUACAAUAGAAAGCUGACAUUACCAAGUCUAUAAAUAUUGCAGGUCAUAAUUAUUGUUGUAGCACUUAACGUUCCCUUGGUUAUAAUUCUACACAAGUUCCUAUAACAGGUUAAUUGUGGCUGAUUUAUGAUAUUUC